rnacentral:tRNA from 1 species
CAGGGAGACAACAAAAUGUAAAUAUUAAUUUUGUCACCUUAGGUCGAUCGGUAUCUCAGAUUCUUAUUUUUUAAGAAUUUCAGUUUCUAAGUUUUUUCUAGGUCACACCCAUCACUUUUUCCUGGGCCAUUAGCUCAGGUGGUUAGAGCGCACCCCUGAUAAGGGUGAGGUCCCUGGUUCAAGUCCAGGAUGGCCCAUAUCUCUAUGUUGGGGGUAUAGCUCAGUUGGUAGAGCGCCUGCUUUGCAAGCAGGAUGUCAGCGGUUCGAGUCCGCUUACCUCCACUGAAUACCACCUCUUACAUAUUUAAAGAGGGAAAUUGUUUUGAGUCGUGUCCUAAUUUGCUCUGAGCGAAUCUAGCUUCCUAUUUUAUUCAAUAAAUAAGAUGCUGGACUCAUUGAAUUUUUUUUCAUUGUUUUCAGAGAACCUUGACAACUGCAUANAUUAUUUUUGAAGACAAUAAGCAUCUUUAAUGAUGCAGAUUUAUUAUUUGUGCGAAUGCAUUAAAUAGCAAUUCUAUUAAGCUGAUGCUUCAAUUAUUGAAGUUAUU